UGUAAAAACGCUAUAGCGCUUUUGGAAAACUAAGAACGAUUUCAGGGCCACACGCGCGGGCUUUCUUCUUCCCCUCCUUGGUGGCGAAUAGAUUUCACACUUAGCGAAUUUCAGAAAGUUAGGGCAUAACUCGUUCUUCUCCUUAUCGACGCGAUUUCUCACUCAGCAGACGCGACGUACUGGGCGAAGGUGGGAUCGAGGAGGUUAAUCGGCACCGGCGUCCAGGAAGUGACCGUGUGUCAACGCAGGCGUGCUGUGCUCAUUCAGGAUACCCAGCUUUGAGUUUAACAAAAGGGCACAUCUCGUAUUGAUUCAAUCUCUGAGCUUCCCAGGCCUGUGUCCGAGCCAGGUCUGACGGUCGGCACGCGUGUGCUUCUAUUAUCCCGCACCGGUGAGAAAAAAGUUGUUGCGAAGGGACUUCUGCUCUGCCCCCCUGCGCCAGGUGACACACUUUCCCUGGUCAAGGUCUUCGUGACAUCCGCCUCAGUCCCGGACGCAUCCUUUAUUUUGCCGACCAUUGCUGGGGCGACUAUCCUUCGCGAUGUCGUUGGUUAAAAUCCUAUUGAGUGGAACUAUAAGGACCCAUUGCAGCUCAUACGCCGCCCCUGAAGCGUAUCUACCGAUUCACCCAUGUUAGUUGCCCCGUUUGUCUUAUAGAUUGUAUGUCAUACCUGUUUUUGGAUGGAUUGAGGCUGUGUGAACGAUAUGUGGAAUGGAUGCAUAGACCAUUGGAGUUUUAAUUCGUGUGGUGAAAGAUGUGGUUAUGGAUUGAUGGAUAUCCGUACUUGCUUAUUGUUAGGUUUGGUGUUUGAACUGUUAAGCCCGUUUUGCGGAACAAGAUGUUGCUGUGUAGUGCUUGCUAGGCUUGGUUUAUAG